AGUCGAACGGCAGCACGGACUUCGGUCUGGUGGCGAGUGGCGAACGGGUGAGUAAUGGUCGGAAUGUGCCAGUAGCGGGGAUAACUACGCGAAAGCGUAGCUAAUACCGCAUACGCCUUUCGGGGGAAAGCGGGGACCUUCGGGCCUCGCACUAUUAGAGCGGCCGAUAUCGGAUUAGCUAGUUGGUGGGGUAACGGCUCACCAAGGCGACGAUCCGUAGCUGGUUUGAGAGGACGACCAGCCACACUGGGACUGGAGAUGACGGCCCAGACUCCUACGGGAGGCAGCAGUGGGGAAUUUUGGACAUGGGGGAAACCCUGAUCCAGCCAUCCUGGGCAAAGAGUGAAGGCCUUCGGGUUGUAAAGCACUUUGGCAGGAAGAAACGGCACGGGAUAAUACCCCCGUGCAACUGACGGUACCUGCAGAAUAAGCACCGGCUAACUACGUGCCAGCAGCCGCGGUACGUAGGGUGCUAGCGUUAAUCGGAAUUACUGGGCGUAAAGCGUGCGCAGGCGGUUCGGAAAGAAAGAUGUGAAAUCCCAGAGCUAACUUUGGAACUGCAUUUUUAACUACCGAGCUAGAGUGUGUCAGAGGGAGGUGGAAUUCCGCGUGUAGCAGGAAUGUAUGUAGAUAUGCGGAGAACACCGAUGGCGAAGGCAGCCUCCUGGGAUAACACUGACGCUCAUGCACGAAAGCGUGGGGAGCAAACAGGAUUAGAUACCCUGGUAGUCCACGCCCCAAACGAUGUCAACUAGCUGUUGGGGCCUUCGGGCCCCGGUAGCGCAGCUAACGCGUGAAGUUGACCGCCUGGGGAGUACGGUCGCAAGAUUAAAACUCAAAGGAAUUGACGGGGACUCCGCACAAGCGGUGGAUGAUGUGGAUUAACUGAUGCGCAACGCGAAAACCUUUACCUACCCUUUGACAUGUCUGGAACCCGAAGAUUUCGGGAAAUGCUUGCAAGAGGUAUCAAGACGUGGUGCGCAUGGCUGUUCGUUACAGUCAGAGAUGUUAAUAAACACGCCAACGAGCGCACCCUGCUGGUUAGCUGAUGCCGGUGGCACUUCCACUGAGACUGCCGGUGACAAAACCGAGGAAGGUGGGGACGUCAAGUCCUCAUGGCCCUUAUGGGUAGGGCUUCACACGUCAUACAAUGGUCGGGACAGUAAGGUCGCCAACCCGCGAGGGGAGCCAACCCCAGAAACCCGAUCGUAGUCCGGAUCGCAGUCUGCAACUCGACUGCGUGAAGUCGGAAUCGCUAGUAAUCGCGGAUCAGCAUGUCGCGGUGAAUACGUUCCCGGGUCUUGUACACACCGCCCGUCACACCAUGGGAGUGGGUUUUACCAGAAGUAGUUAGCCUAACCGUAAGGAGGGCGAUUACCACGGUAGGAUUCAUGACUGGGGUGAAGUCGCAACAAGGUAA
rnacentral:rRNA from 1 species